rnacentral:lncRNA from 1 species
AAAUGUUCAACUACAAAAAGAGUUUACCAUAAUUGCUUUUUUCUAUGCUUCAAAAUUAAGCUUUCCUUUCUAAACUUAUGGUGAUUAUUCAUUCAUCAUUUGUUGAACUUUAUAUAGUCAUCAUUUACCCACUCAUCAAUACAAUAAUUUCUUUAGACGUAAGUGUUCCAUAGUGUAAUCACCUUUCAAAAUUCUUUUUCUGUUAUAAUGGAAAGAGAAUAUUACCUAAUUCUUAUAUUGGAUCAAAAACUAAUAUUGCUCAUACCAGAAAAAGGCACAAAAUAAUGACUUAUAUAUUAAAAUAUAUAUUUUUUCACUCACCAAAUUAUUCAAACAUUUGUGUUUUUCUAUCUAAAAAAACAGAUCAUAUGUGUUCUUAAUUCAGAAUUAUGGAAUAGAUGAGACGAAAAAUCUGUUCCAUGAAUUUUUAAAGUUGGAUCGGAGUGACACCUAUUUCUAAUUAAUGGACUGUAUCUCUUCUGUCAUGUCAUUGUUGUAAUAAUAAUAUCUAUUUAUAUUAUUUUAAUUGUAGGUUGGUUUGGCAUCAGAUCCUGCAUGAAGAGUUUGGUACUUACGUUCUAUAUUUUUCACUAAUAAAGAAAUUUAACAUUACCGAACGUUUUGUUAAAAACAUAUUUUUUAUAUUAAAACCAUGUUUAUAAAUAAUUAUAAAAAAUCACGCCACCCAUUUCUGAGAGGGUGAGAAUUUCAACGUAUUCAGUCUUUUUUUUUUACACUCCUUUAAAUAACUCAUUCUUUUCAUUUUUU